UAACUCUUAGCGGUGGAUCACUUGGCUCGUGGAUCGAUGAAGAACGCAGCUAGCUGCGAUAAAUAGUGCGAAUUGCAGACGCAUUGAGCACAAAGAUUUCGAAUGCACAUUGCACCAUCGGG
rnacentral:rRNA from 1 species